rnacentral:rRNA from 1 species
CACGUAGGGUGCGAGCGUUGUCCGGAAUUAUUGGGCGUAAAGAGCUCGUAGGCGGUCUGUCGCGUCGGAUGUGAAAACUCGGGGCUCAACCCCGAGCCUGCAUUCGAUACGGGCAGACUAGAGUUCGGUAGGGGAGACUGGAAUUCCUGGUGUAGCGGUGAAAUGCGCAGAUAUCAGGAGGAACACCGGUGGCGAAGGCGGGUCUCUGGGCCGAUACUGACGCUGAGGAGCGAAAGCGUGGGGGGAGCGAACAGG